GUCUAUGACCAUAACACCUUGAACAUGCCCAAUCCCGUCUGAUCUCGAAAGCUAAGCAGGGUCGGGCCUGGUUAGUACCUGGAUGGGAGACCACUUAAGAAGACUGAGUGCUGUAGGCA
rnacentral:rRNA from 1 species